rnacentral:rRNA from 1 species
AUGCAGGUCGGGAAACAGUGUUUGGUGGGUAGUUUGACUGGGGCGGUCGCCUCCUAAAGAGUAACGGAGGCGCGCGAAGGUUCCCUCAGGCUGAUUGGAAACCAGCCGCAGAGUGCAAAGGCAUAAGGGAGCUUGACUGCGAGACCUACAAGUCGAGCAGGUGCGAAAGCAGGUCUUAGUGAUCCGGCGGUUCCGAAUGGAAGGGCCGUCGCUCAUCGGAUAAAAGGUACCCCGGGGAUAACAGGCUUAUCUCUCCCAAGAGUUCACAUCGACGGGGAGGUUUGGCACCUCGAUGUCGGCUCAUCGCAUCCUGGGGCUGGAGAAGGUCCCAAGGGUUUGGCUGUUCGCCAAUUAAAGCGGUACGCGAGCUGGGUUCAGAACGUCGUGAGACAGUUCGGUCCCUAUCUGUCGUGGGCGGAGGAUACUUGAAGGGAGUUGACCAUAGUACGAGAGGACCUGGUUGAACGUAUCCCUAGUGUUCCGGUUGUUUCGCCAGAAGCAUAGCCGGGUAGCUAUAUACGGAAUCGAUAACCGCUGAAAGCAUCUAAGCGGGAAGCGAGCCCUAAGAUGAGGUAUCCCUGGACUUCGGUCCCUAAAGGCCACUCGUAGACUACGAGUUUGAUAGGCUGGGUGUGGAAGUGCGGUAACGCAUGUAGCUGACCAGUACUAAUCGGCCGUGAGGCUUGACCUAUUU